rnacentral:rRNA from 1 species
GACGAACGCUGGCGGUGUGCUUAACACAUGCAAGUCGAACGGUAAGGCCCUUUCGGGGGUACACGAGUGGCGAACGGGUGAGUAACACGUGAGUAACCUGCCCUCAUCUCUGGGAUAACAGUCGGAAACGGUUGCUAAUACUGGAUAUGAGCUUGCAAGGCAUCUUGUGGGUUGGAAAGAUUUUUUUUGGUUGGGGAUGGACUCGCGGCCUAUCAGCUUGUUGGUGAGGUAGUGGCUCACCAAGGCUUCGACGGGUAGCCGGCCUGAGAGGGCGACCGGCCACAUUGGGAAUGAGAUAAGGCCCAAACUCCUACGGGAGGCAGCAGUGGGGAAUAUUGCACAAUGGACGGAAGUCUGAUGCAGCAACGCCGCGUGCGGGAUGACGGCCUUCGGGUUGUAAACCGCUUUCAAUUGUGAAGAAGCUUUUUUGUGACGGUAGCAGUAGAAGAAGCACCGGCUAACUACGUG